CUCUUAUCAAGAGAGGUGGAGGGAUAGGCCCUAUGAAACCUCGGCAACCUUCAGACCCAUUUGUCUGAAAAGGUGCCAAUUCCUACUCUAAUUUUACAAAUUUAGAGAAAGAUGAGAG
rnacentral:ncRNA from 1 species